AUUGAACGCUGGCGGCAUGCUUUACACAUGCAAGUCGAACGGCAGCGCGGGCUUCGGCCUGGCGGCGAGUGGCGAACGGGUGAGUAAUACAUCGGAACGUGCCCAGUAGUGGGGGAUAGCUCGGCGAAAGCCGGAUUAAUACUGCAUACGACCUGAGGGUGAAAGCGGGGGAUCUUCGGACCUCGCGCUAUUGGAGCGGCCGAUGGCAGAUUAGCUAGUUGGUGGGGUAAAGGCCUACCAAGGCGACGAUCUGUAGCUGGUCUGAGAGGACGACCAGCCACACUGGGACUGAGACACGGCCCAGACUCCUACGGGAGGCAGCAGUGGGGAAUUUUGGACAAUGGGCGAAAGCCUGAUCCAGCAAUGCCGCGUGUGUGAUGAAGGCCUUCGGGUUGUAAAGCACUUUUGGCGGGAACGAAAAGGACUGUGCCAAUACCACGGUUCGAUGACGGUACCCGCAGAAUAAGCACCGGCUAACUACGUG
rnacentral:rRNA from 1 species